rnacentral:rRNA from 1 species
GACGAACGCUGGCGGCGUGCUUAACACAUGCAAGUCGAACGGAAAGGCCCUGCUUUUGUGGGGUGCUCGAGUGGCGAACGGGUGAGUAACACGUGAGUAACCUGCCCUUGACUUUGGGAUAACUUCAGGAAACUGGGGCUAAUACCGGAUAGGAGCUCCUGCUGCAUGGUGGGGGUUGGAAAGUUUCGGCGGUUGGGGAUGGACUCGCGGCUUAUCAGCUUGUUGGUGGGGUAGUGGCUUACCAAGGCUUUGACGGGUAGCCGGCCUGAGAGGGUGACCGGCCACAUUGGGACUGAGAUACGGCCCAGACUCCUACGGGAGGCAGCAGUGGGGAAUAUUGCACAAUGGGCGGAAGCCUGAUGCAGCAACGCCGCGUGCGGGAUGACGGCCUUCGGGUUGUAAACCGCUUUCGCCUGUGACGAAGCGUGAGUGACGGUAAUGGGUAAAGAAGCACCGGCUAACUACGUGCCAGCAGCCGCGGUGAUACGUAGGGUGCGAGCGUUGUCCGGAUUUAUUGGGCGUAAAGGGCUCGUAGGUGGUUGAUCGCGUCGGAAGUGUAAUCUUGGGGCUUAACCCUGAGCGUGCUUUCGAUACGGGUUGACUUGAGGAAGGUAGGGGAGAAUGGAAUUCCUGGUGGAGCGGUGGAAUGCGCAGAUAUCAGGAGGAACACCAGUGGCGAAGGCGGUUCUCUGGGCCUUUCCUGACGCUGAGGAGCGAAAGCGUGGGGAGCGAACAGGCUUAGAUACCCUGGUAGUCCACGCUGUAAACGGUGGGUACUAGGUGUGGGGUCCAUUCCACGGGUUCCGUGCCGUAGCUAACGCUUUAAGUACCCCGCCUGGGGAGUACGGCCGCAAGGCUAAAACUCAAAGGAAUUGACGGGGCCCCGCACAAGCGGCGGAGCAUGCGGAUUAAUUCGAUGCAACGCGUAGAACCUUACCUGGGUUUGACAUGGAUCGGGAGCGCUCAGAGAUGGGUGUGCCUCUUUUGGGGUCGGUUCACAGGUGGUGCAUGGCUGUCGUCAGCUCGUGUCGUGAGAUGUUGGGUUAAGUCCCGCAACGAGCGCAACCCUUGUUCACUGUUGCCAGCACGUUAUGGUGGGGACUCAGUGGAGACCGCCGGGGUCAACUCGGAGGAAGGUGGGGAUGACGUCAAGUCAUCAUGCCCCUUAUGUCCAGGGCUUCACGCAUGCUACAAUGGCUGGUACAGAGAGUGGCGAGCCUGUGAGGGUGAGCGAAUCUCGGAAAGCCGGUCUCAGUUCGGAUUGGGGUCUGCAACUCGACCUCAUGAAGUCAGAGUCGCUAGUAAUCGCAGAUCAGCAACGCUGCGGUGAAUACGUUCCCGGG